UCUGUUCUGUUCUGUCUCUAAACAAAGUAACAAAACCAUUUAUUCCUAAAAUCCUAAUUCCAGAGAAACCCUAACGCCUAAACCAGUAGCCGCCGCCCACCGGCCAACAGUCCUCGUCGUCGUCGACUUCCACCAGCCACCGGUUUCCCUCUCGCCAUCUCGUCUCUCCCUCUCACAAAUUUCAACUACAGUAGAGUGACUCAUACAUGGCUGAAAAUAUACAAAGUGAUAAGGUGAUGAUGGGUGAAAGUGGGGCUUCUAAUUCAAAUGCAACAAGUCAAGCUCAAACAACGGAGCCAAAUAUAACUAAAAAAAGGAGAAAAAGGUUUGUUGUGUGGGAUCAUUUUACAGAAAUUAUUACUUCUAAAGGGAGUACAAAAGCAAAAUGUGACUA